UUUAGCNNGGAAGAAGCGAAAGUGACGGUACCUGCAGAAAAAGCGCCGGCUAACUACGUGCCAGCAGCCGCGGUAAUACGUAGGGCGCAAGCGUUAUCCGGAAUUAUUGGGCGUAAAGAGCUCGUAGGCGGUUUGUCGCGUCUGCUGUGAAAUCCCGAGGCUCAACCUCGGGCCNUGCAGUGGGUACGGGCAGACUAGAGUGCGGUAGGGGAGAUUGGAAUUCCUGGUGUAGCGGUGGAAUGCGCAGAUAUCAGGAGGAACACCGAUGGCGAAGGCAGAUCUCUGGGCCGUAACUGACGCUGAGGAGCGAAAGGGUGGGGAGCAAACAGGCUUAGAUACCCUGGUAGUCCACCCCGUAAACGUUGGGAACUAGUUGUGGGGUCCAUUCCACGGAUUCCGUGACGCAGCUAACGCAUUAAGUUCCCCGCCUGGGGAGUACGGCCGCAAGGCUAAAACUCAAAGGAAUUGACGGGGACCCGCACAAGCGGCGGAGCAUGCGGAUUAAUUCGAUGCAACGCGAAGAACCUUACCAAGGCUUGACAUAUACGAGAACGGGCCAGAAAUGGUCAACUCUUUGGACACUCGUAAACAGGUGGUGCAUGGUUGUCGUCAGCUCGUGUCGUGAGAUGUUGGGUUAAGUCCCGCAACGAGCGCAACCCUCGUUCUAUGUUGCCAGCACGUAAUGGUGGGAACUCAUGGGAUACUGCCGGGGUCAACUCGGAGGAAGGUGGGGAUGACGUCAAAUCAUCAUGCCCCUUAUGUCUUGGGCUUCACGCAUGCUACAAUGGCCGGUACAAAGGGCUGCAAUACCGCGAGGUGGAGCGAAUCCCAAAAAGCCGGUCCCAGUUCGGAUUGAGGUCUGCAACUCGACCUCAUGAAGUCGGAGUCGCUNGUAAUCGCAGAUCAGCAA
rnacentral:rRNA from 1 species